rnacentral:rRNA from 1 species
GAUGAACGCUGGCGGCGUGCCUAAUACAUGCAAGUCGAGCGGACGGACGAUAAGCUUGCUUCUCUGAUGUUAGCGGCGGACGGGUGUGUAACACGUGGAUACCCUACCUAUAAGACUGGGAUAACUUCGGGAAACCGGCGCUAAUACCGUAUAAUAUUUUGCACCGCAUGGUUCAUAAGUGAAUGACGGUCUUUCUGUCACUUAUAGAUGGUUCCGCGCUGCAUUAGCUAGUUGGUAAGUUAACGGCUUACCACGGCUACGAGGCAUAGCCGACCUGAGAGGGGGAUAGGCGACACUGGAACGGAGACACGGUCCAGAGUACUACGGGAGGCAGCAGUAGGGAAUCUUCCGCAAUGGGGGAAAGCCUGACGGAGCAACGCCGCGUGAGUGAUGAAGAUCUUCGGAUCGUAAAACUCUGCUAUUAGGGAAGAACAUAUGUGUAAGUAACUGUGCACAUCUUGACGGUAACUAAUCAGAAAGCAACGGCUAACUACGUG